ACCCACUAUGCUGGUACCAA
rnacentral:misc_RNA from 1 species